GUAAGCCGGGGUCAGCAAAUGAAGAGGCGAGCAAGGCCAUUUAAAGCAACAUGGUUUAUUCAAAGGCAAUAGGUUGAAGAUGAGGAUUGCAGAUUUUGGAGUCCAGAUGUCAGCUUCUGAAUCUCAGUACUGCCUCUUUGCCAAGUGCCAACGAGUAUGCCAAAUAAGAUUUGAUGCAAAAUGAACUUUGAGUAACCCAUCAUGAUUCAUUUCAUCU